GGAUUAUAGUUUAAAAAAAACAAUUUAAUUGCACUAAAUAAAUGAAGAGCUCUAAUCUGA
rnacentral:tRNA from 1 species